rnacentral:lncRNA from 1 species
AUGAGUUCUCAGGGGUAUUUCUCAGGGUACUUUUCCGAUCUCCUAGCUGAGCUGUGUGUGUGGGGCACAUGUGGGUGUGAAGUCUCUGCUCCUGUGUGUUGUCCAGGAACUGCUUUCCCUCUGGCUGUCUUUUCCCACAAGAAGAUUCUGGCUCUAUCUCCAGCAGCAACCCACCCAGUCCCUGAACAGAACUUGCAUUAUGGUAUUCCUGUGCUGAACAGCUCCGCAUUUGCUCUCCACCCCGUCGGGACAGACGGGAUGGUGGCUGAGGCAGCCGGGCCCCCGCAGCCUGCCCCAGGAGACACCACCAGCCGAGGUGGGUCGCAGCCACCAGAGGAUGUGCUGCCGCUGCUGCCACCUGGGGCUGCGCUUGAGCCUCCCCACAGGGUGCCCAAGCGAUGCGAGUGAUGUCCUGAACUCAAUUCCACCAAAAGGUAGCCCUUUUGUAUUUUAUUUUUAACUUUAUUUUUCCGUGUGCUUGCUUCUUCCCUCCAUCCGCUUGGGUCAGCACCCCUGGACAUGCCCAAAUGCUGGCUGGCAUGGGUGGGCUCCUGCCUAGAGGCUGUGCUGCAUCUUGCUCGGACUCCAGGGUCCAGCAGGAGAAAGAAACAACUGCACUCACUAAUGCAGCCUUUUGGGUGAAACAGGGGUUUGCUUUAUACUGGCUGUUGCACACAGAUAGCGUUACCUGUUUGUGCAGCUGAAAUGCUCAAGAGGCCAGCUCUCUAAAUAGUAGAAAUACGGACCUGGAUAAUAAUUGCCAAUUUGACAUCUAUCCAAGCUGUGAAGCACUGCUGAAGUGCAAGACCAGAGUGCCCUUCAGGAAGUCAUUUAGUAGUACCUCACGCAGUUUUUAAGCAGGAUCUGUACAUAAACUCUCCCAACAGAUGAGUUUCUAACCUAAAACCAUGCAGUGAGAAGGAUGCCAGGACCCCCUGAGUAGCCCAUUCUACUGUUUAAUUAUACCUACUGUUAGAAAGGUUUUCCCCCUAAUGUUUAACUAAAUCCUCUUUACUGCAAAUCAUGCUCAAGGUAGUGCGUGAAUAAAGUCAUGUAAAGUCUUUUGUUUAAAAAAAAA